CUCAACACACGCAAGUUCGAGGGGCAGCACGGUUCUCGCCUCGCUAAGGCCGACGGCGACCGGCGCACGGGCGAGUAACACGUAUCCAACCUGCCGUCUACUCUCGGACAGCCUUCUGAAAGGAGGAUUAAUACAAGAUGGCAUCAUGAGUCCGCAUGUUCACAUGAUUAAAGGUAUUCCGGUAGACGAUGGGGAUGCGUUCCAUUAGAUAGUAGGCGGGGUAACGGCCCACCUAGUCUUCGAUGGAUAGGGGUUCUGAGAGGAAGGUCCCCCACAUUGGAACUGAGACACGGUCCAAACUCCUACGGGAGGCAGCAGUGAGGAAUAUUGGUCAAUGGGCGAGAGCCUGAACCAGCCAAGUAGCGUGAAGGAUGACUGCCCUAUGGGUUGUAAACUUCUUUUAUAAAGGAAUAAAGUCGGGUAUGGAUACCCGUUUGCAUGUACUUUAUGAAUAAGGAUCGGCUAACUCCGUGCCAGCAGCCGCGGUAAUACGGAGGAUCCGAGCGUUAUCCGGAUUUAUUGGGUUUAAAGGGAGCGUAGAUGGAUGUUUAAGUCAGUUGUGAAAGUUUGCGGCUCAACCGUAAAAUUGCAGUUGAUACUGGAUAUCUUGAGUGCAGUUGAGGCAGGCGGAAUUCGUGGUGUAGCGGUGAAAUGCUUAGAUAUCACGAAGAACUCCGAUUGCGAAGGCAGCCUGCUAAGCUGCAACUGACAUUGAGGCUCGAAAGUGUGGGUAUCAAACAGGAUUAGAUACCCUGGUAGUCCACACGGUAAACGAUGAAUACUCGCUGUUUGCGAUAUACUGCAAGCGGCCAAGCGAAAGCGUUAAGUAUUCCACCUGGGGAGUACGCCGGCAACGGUGAAACUCAAAGGAAUUGACGGGGGCCCGCACAAGCGGAGGAACAUGUGGUUUAAUUCGAUGAUACGCGAGGAACCUUACCCGGGCUUAAAUUGCAGAUGAAUUACGGUGAAAGCCGUAAGCCGCAAGGCAUCUGUGAAGGUGCUGCAUGGUUGUCGUCAGCUCGUGCCGUGAGGUGUCGGCUUAAGUGCCAUAACGAGCGCAACCCUUGUUGUCAGUUACUAACAGGUUCCGCUGAGGACUCUGACAAGACUGCCAUCGUAAGAUGUGAGGAAGGUGGGGAUGACGUCAAAUCAGCACGGCCCUUACGUCCGGGGCUACACACGUGUUACAAUGGGGGGUACAGAGGGCCGCUACCACGCGAGUGGAUGCCUAUCCCCAAAACCUCUCUCAGUUCGGACUGGAGUUCUGCGAACCCGACUCCUCGAAGCUGGAUUUCGCUAGUGAAUCGGCGCGUUCGGCCGCGGCGCGGUAAUGACGUUUCCCGAGCCC
rnacentral:rRNA from 1 species